AAAUGGGUGAGGAAGAUGAAAGAUAUGAGAAAAGAGGGGAAAAAAUGGAGUUUUGGGGCAAAAAUCGCAUCUGGGCCCACCAAAAGACGGAUCUCCGCCUCUUCCCCGCGGCCGCGGCAUGAACCGCGGCUGAGAACGCGGCUGGAAGCAGGGGAGGCCGCGGUCAUGGGCCGCAGCCGCGGCUCGGACCGCGGGUGCCUGUCAAAAA
rnacentral:lncRNA from 1 species